rnacentral:misc_RNA from 1 species
CUUUUUUCCAAGGCCCAGCUGUCCAUUUGAGUUCCUUCCCCACAUGUAGAGCUCCCCAUCCGCUGUAAUAGCACAAGAGUGAUGAUAACCAGCUGAAAUUUGCACAGCUUCCUUCUUAAGUCCAGAAACUUCAAUAGGCUCCUGUUAAGAAGAGGGUGUGAGCUCCACCACAGGCAAUGGAUUUGAGGCCAUGAUUUCCAAAAGCAGAGGGAG